GAUGAACGCUGGCGGCGUGCCUAAUACAUGCAAGUCGAGCGAACAGACGAGGAGCUUGCUCCUCUGACGUUAGCGGCGGACGGGUGAGUAACACGUGGAUAACCUACCUAUAAGACUGGGAUAACUUUGGGAAACCGGAGCUAAUACCGGAUAAUAUAUUGAACCGCAUGGUUCAAUAGUGAAAGACGGUUUUGCUGUCACUUAUAGAUGGAUCCGCGCCGCAUUAGCUAGUUGGUAAGGUAACGGCUUACCAAGGCGACGAUGCGUAGCCGACCUGAGAGGGUGAUCGGCCACACUGGAACUGAGACACGGUCCAGACUCCUAAGGGAGGCAGCAGUAGGGAAUCGUCCGCAAUGGGCGAAAGCCUGACGGAGCAACGCCGCGUGAGUGAUGAAGGUCUUCGGAUCGUAAAACUCUGUUAUUAGGGAAGAACAAAUGUGUAAGUAACUAUGCACGUCUUGACGGUACCUAAUCAGAAAGCCACGGCUAACUACGUG
rnacentral:rRNA from 1 species